GGAAGGUGCACUUGGAAAAAU
rnacentral:rRNA from 2 species